GGACUACUGGGGUUUCUAAUCCUGUUCGCUCCCCACGCUUUCGCUCCUCAGUGUCAGGUCAGGCCCAGAGAACCGCCUUCGCCACCGGUGUUCCUCCCGAUAUCUGCGCAUUUCACCGCUACACCGGGAAUUCCAUUCUCCCCUACCUGCCUCUAGUCUGCCCGUAUCCACUGCAGGCCCGAGGUUAAGCCUCGGGUUUUCACAGCAGACGUGGCAGACCACCUACGAGCUCUUUACGCCCAAUAAUUCCGGACAACGCUUGCGCCCUACGUGUUACCGCGGCUGCUGGCAC
rnacentral:rRNA from 1 species